CCAAUCCCAAUCCCUUCCCAUGCGUCGCGAUGAGGACCGAGGAUCCUGAGCCCCCCAACCCCAGCCCCAAACUAUAGCCACUAGGGAACUCGUCUGGGCCAAGACCAAGUGCCGCCACCACUGGUGGCCCACGCACCUCCAUGCCCCCUCCAUCAACGGGCACCUCUGCCACCAGCCGGCGCAUGACCUUCGGCCCCUGCUGCUCUCCCCGCCAGCGCACGACCGAUGGCCGAAGAGCGUCCCUCGCCCCGGCUCCCUGCCCACCUCGACGAGCCGACGCACAUCCAUGACCGGCUGGAGCUUGCGCCGCCAGCCACGUCCACGCCCAUGACCUCCUGCUUGACGCCCUACUCUUCUGUUGGAGGAGGUCCUUGCCGUCGGCCUGCAUCUCAUGGUCAAGCCACCCUCCGCAUGCCUCCUUCCCCUCGGCUAGCUCUGGCCGCCUGCCGUCUCUGACCUUGCCGCCUCCCGUUGGUCCCUUGCACAAAACAUGGUAGCAGGCUCUUCCCGGAGAGUUCAUCUCCCUCCAGCUCCUUCCUAGGGUUCGCCGGAUCUGUCUGUCUCUCUCUUCUCCCACUCUCUCUCUAUCAGGAUUUCACUACCUGAGUCUCUCUCUCUCUGUUUGCAGGCACCCAUGGAGGCGAUGACACGUGGACUACUCGGGUGGUGGCCGCCAAGGACAAGGCCAAGGAGGAUGGCGACCCGAAGUUCGUCGGGGACCUCAUCGUCUUAGACAAGGCACGCCAGUAGGUUACAGAUUUGUGCCGCUGGCCCCAACAAGGCACAUUGCACUACUCGGGUAAGUGCGUUCAAGAAGGUUGUGAGGGUGUUCGCGGAAAAGCCGAUGAAUAAUGUAGUCACUCCAGUGUUGGAUACUACCUUCGACUUGCUUGUAGAAGCAUACGAUUUGUCUCUUCUCUGUGUAGAUAACAUGUUGAAUGUUGUUCAUACGAUUGCAUGUUGGCAGAAAUGAUGAGGAUUAGUAGGUGAAGACGAGGUACUGCUAUGGUUAUCGUAAAGAUCCUCCUCCAUGCCUCAUGGGAAGCAACAUCAUGAUUGCUCUUGCAAAAUCGAUGAUGAUGCUAUGAAUGUUAGUUCUGCUGCCAUUGUGGAUUAGCUUGUGCCCCUCAAAUGCUAUUGACAAGUUCCACCUUGAGUCCGUAGAUCAGUGGAAUUAUAAUGAGUAGUAUAAAACAUGAGAUGUCUGAUUGUAUAUAACCCGCACCUCCAAAUUGAUGUGUUCUAGGCUGUGUCUUUGAUUGAAAAUGUUUCUAGACUAUAAACUGUUCUAUCCGUGAUAACUGCAACUAGAAGAAUUUUUCCCAUUUAAAUUCUGUAAUCCCUAUUAGCUAAAACUUUAGCAUUACAAAGUUUUAUAUUUAAGUUCAGUUUCUUGGUAAGCCAUCCUCCUCAUGGUAGAGUUUCUCUUGCAGAUAGAUAAUUAUUUCUUCAAGUUUUGUUUUUCUGGUGUGUUUAGCUGUUUCUCAUGAUGUAGCUAUUGUUGCUUUUUUGUCUCAGGGUGUGAUUGUUCUGAUCACCUACUUCAACAACGGCUCGGGCGUAUGUGCCUCAAACUCUUAGCGUGGACUCACUAUUUAUGUUUGUUCUCCUAGGGUUUGUAGAUUGCGAAACAUGGCAAGUAACAUGUAGAUGCUCUAUUUCUUAUUCCCUGCUCUAGUUUAUUUCAAUUUAUAUUUCUCUGGACAUCAAGUCAAGUGCUGAAUUUUGAGGGUACGGAAGCUUGUAACAUCACGGGUUUCUUUGAUGAUAGUGAAUGUGAAGUAGGAUUGUAUUGUAUCUUCGUUUAUAGAUAUUUUUUAGUUACAACUCAAUACCAAAUUCUACAGUAGGGGUUCUUGUGGCAUCAACAGCUAUUGUAAUAAUGAAUGUAUAUUACGAUUGUAUUGUGCCCUUCGGUGUUUUCGUAUUUAUCAUGCAUACACAACAAAUCAUGAAAAUAAACUACAUUCGGCAUACUCAAAUAACACUGGGGUCUGGGACUAUUUUAUGGUGUUGUCGAUAUACUUUGUGAUUUAAAGUUACUGAUCUAUGGUCUGGUGUCAUAUUAUGGUCUAAUAUUUUUUGUUUUGAUUCUUUCUCUGUUGCCAGGAAUAGAUGUCGAUGAUGCCUACUUGCUUGCCAGCUACAGUGAUGCAUGGACCGGUGAAGCAAGCACACAUGCAAGGCUAGCCCCAUGUAUCUUCCUUGGGUGCAAACAUCAUCUACAAGUAUGAAAAAUUAUGCAUACCCAGGUCAAACUUGCGAUCAUGGUGAAGGUGCUGAUCUAGGUUUCCUAUCUUCAGAAGUGAAAUGUUUGCUUGCUACCUUCUUUUGGACGUUGUCCUUCAUUCAUGUUUCGUCGUGAGAUCUAGGACGAAGAAGUUGGGAGAAUCAUAAAGUUCUAGCUCAUUGGAGCUAGUUAUACUUGUAUGGCUAGUUAUUUUUUUUGGAUUUUUUAGUUGUGUUACCUGAUGUGAACUAGUUCUGAUUGUAAACCUCAUGUGAUCUUAGAACUAUUAUUGCUCUAGUCUGGUGGGAGUUGUGGAAGCAUAGGAAUGCUAUUGUUUUUGAAGGGGCGCGCCCUUGCUUGGAGUAUCUACUAGGGCGAGUGAGGCAUGAGGGCCAACUGUGGGCAUCGGCCGGGCUAAUGAAAGGGAAUGUAACUCCCUUCUUUACUAGAGUGGAGAGGUGGGAGAUGAGUGAGGAGUAAUAUGUAACAAAACCGUGUAAUUGUGGUGGAGGCUUUCUAUGCCUUUCUUCUUUAAUAUAUGAUAUGCACACUCAUGCAUAUUCGAAAAAAAUAAACCUCAUGUGAACCAUGUUUG